rnacentral:rRNA from 1 species
AUUGAACGCUGGCGGCAGGCCUAACACAUGCAAGUCGAACGGCAGCACAGAAGAGCUUGCUCUUUGGGUGGCGAGUGGCGGACGGGUGAGUAAUGUCUGGGAAACUGCCCGAUGGAGGGGGAUAACUACUGGAAACGGUAGCUAAUACCGCAUAACGUCGCAAGACCAAAGUGGGGGACCUUCGGGGCUCACACCAUCGGAUGUGCCCAGAUGGGAUUAGGUAGUAGGUGGGGUAAUGGCUCACCUAGGCGACGAUCCAUAGCUGGGCUGAGAGGAUGACCAGCCACACUGGAACUGAGACACGGUCCAGACUCCUACGGGAGGCAGCAGUGGGGAAUAUUGCACAAUGGGCGCAAGCCUGAUGCAGCCAUGCCGCGUGUAUGAAGAAGGCCUUCGGGUUGUAAAGUACUUUCAGCGGGGAGGAAGGCGGUGAGGUUAAUAACCUCGCCGAUUGACGUUACCCGCAGAAGAAGCACCGGCUAACUCCGUGCCAGCCGCCGCGGUAA